rnacentral:rRNA from 1 species
GAUGAACGCUGGCGGCGUGCCUAAUACAUGCAGGUCGAGCGAACAGACGAGGAGCUUGCUCCUCUGACGUUAGCGGCGGACGGGUGAGUAACACGUGGAUAACCUACCUAUAAGACUGGGAUAACUUCGGGAAACCGGAGCUAAUACCGGAUAAUAUAUUGAACCGCAUGGUUCAAUAGUGAAAGACGGUUUUGCUGUCACUUAUAGAUGGAUCCGCGCCGCAUUAGCUAGUUGGUCAGGUAACGGCUUACCAAGGCGACGAUGCGUAGCCGACCUGAGAGGGUGAUCGGCCACACUGGAACUGGGACACGGUCAAGACGCCUACGGGAGGCAGCAGUAGGGAAUGUUCCGCAAUGGGCGAAAGCCUGACGGAGCAACGCCGCGUGAGUGAUGAAGGUCUUCGGAUCGUAAAACUCUGUUAUUAGGGAAGAACAAAUGUGUAAGUAACUAUGCACGUCUUGACGGUACCUAAUCAGAAAGCAACGGCUAACUACGUG